GCUAAGACUGGAUAGGAAACAGAAACAUCUUUUUGUUUUUAAAAGACCUUCUUCGGAGGGUAUGCUUAAAGAGGGGCUUGCGCCACAUUAGUUAGUUGGUGAGGUAAAGGCUUACCAAGAUUAUGAUGUGUAGCUGGACUGAGAGGUUGAACAGCCACAUUGGGACUGAGACACGGCCCAAACUCCUACGGGAGGCAGCAGUAGGGAAUUUUCGGCAAUGGAGGAAACUCUGACCGAGCGACGCCGCGUGAACGAUGAAGUAUUUCGGUAUGUAAAGUUCUUUUAUUGAAGAAGAAAAAAUAGUGGAAAAACUAUAUUGACGUUAUUCAAUGAAUAAGCCCCGGCUAACUAUGUGCCAGCAGCCGCGGUAAGACAUAGGGGGCGAGCGUUAUCCGGAAUUAUUGGGCGUAAAGGGUGCGUAGGCGGUUAGAUAAGUCUAUAAUUUAAUUUCAGUGCUUAACGCUGUCUUGUUAUAGAAACUGUCUUGACUAGAGUGAGAUAGAGGCAAGCGGAAUUCCAUGUGUAGCGGUAAAAUGUGUAAAUAUAUGGAGGAACACCAGAAGCGUAGGCGGCUUGCUGGGUCUUUACUGACGCUGAGGCACGAAAGCGUGGGGAGCAAACAGGAUUAGAUACCCUGGUAGUCCACGCUGUAAACGAUGAGUACUAAGUGUCGGGGAAACUCGGUACUGAAGUUAACACAUUAAGUACUCCGCCUGAGUAGUACGUACGCAAGUAUGAAACUUAAAGGAAUUGACGGGACUCCGCACAAGCGGUGGAUCAUGUUGUUUAAUUCGAAGAUACACGAAAAACCUUACCAGGUCUUGACAUACUCUGCAAAGCUAUAGAAAUAUAGUGGAGGUUAUCAGGGAUACAGGUGGUGCAUGGUUGUCGUCAGUUCGUGUCGUGAGAUGUUAGGUUAAGUCCUAAAACGAACGCAACCCCUGUCGUUAGUUGCCAGCACGUAAUGGUGGGGACUUUAGCGAGACUGCCAAUUAAACAUUGGAGGAAGGUGGGGAUAACGUCAAAUCAUCAUGCCCCUUAUGAUCUGGGCUACAAACGUGAUACAAUGGCUAUUACAAAGAGUAGCUGAAACGCGAGUUUUUAGCCAAUCUCAAAAAGGUAGUCUCAGUACGGAUUGAAGUCUGCAACUCGACUUCAUGAAGCUGGAAUCGCUAGUAAUCGCGAAUCUGCAUGUCGCGGUG
rnacentral:rRNA from 1 species